CUGAAAGUCUGCUUCUCUCAAUUUCCCAAUCUCACAAACCACCAGCUUUUAUUGAUCAUGCAAAAUGACCUGAACUUUCACCUGCUCGUGUAGACACAGCGGCUUCACGCGGAGUAAAUUAAUAAUAAUGCUAAAGCUACAAGGCCGAUGUAGCGACCUCAUCUCCAGAGCUCCAGCCCGAGACCUACGAUGUGGUCUCCCCUGCCGAGCGCCAGCCGGAGGUCAACGUGGUGACCUCACCUCCAGAGCUCCAGCCCGAGACCCGCAAGGUGGUCUCCCGUGUCGAGCUCCAGCCGGAGGUCAACGUGGCGAUCUCAACUCCAGAGCUCCAGCCUGAGACCAAAAUGACGGCCUUCCAAGCUAAGCAUAAGAUCUUUCCCCACCCUCCCCUACAACGGAUCUCGCUCAACCUGCUGAUUCAACGGAGGAUGCCGCUCAGCCUCCCUGCUCAGCCAAGAGUUCUGCUUUACCUCCUUGCUUUACUGAGGAUUUCACUCUGCCUGCCUGCUCAGCCGAGGACGUCGCUCAGCCUACCUGCUCAGCCGAGGAUGUCACUCUGACUGCCUGCUCAGCCUAGGACGUCGCUCCGCCUUCCUGCUCCCCCAUCCUGCGUGGCCGAGGAUGUCACUCUGCCUUCCUGAUCCACCGAGGACGUUGUGCAGGGUGUCGAUACCCCUUCUUGGUCCACAGAGAACAUCACCCCUCCUUUGGCCUCACGGAGCACGUCUCUCCCCCCUCUGGCCUCGCGGAGAGCGUCGUUCCCCCCCUCUGGCCUCACGGAGAGCGUCGCUUCCCCCCUCCAGCCUCACGGAGAGCGUCGCUUCCCCCCUCUGGCCUCACGGAGUGUCGCUCCCCCCUGUGGCCUCACGGAGAACACUGCUCCUCCCUCUGACCAUCGCGGAGAGCGCCAGUCCCUCCUCUAGCUCCAAGGUUAACUUCACUCUGCCCUCAUGCUCAGCCUUGGGCUUUGUGCCUUGCCUAGUUUAGCCUGAUUGUUCAUCACCUUACCAUUGCCUGUUCAUUGUUUUACGAGUCUGAGUUGCCCUUUGGAUUGUUCUGCCUGGAUUAUUUAAUAAACACCGCCUUUAGCACACAUACCUGCAUUUGCAUGCAUCUAUAUUUCUACCACUUGACACUUGGUAAAGGUUUAUUGUU
ensembl:lncRNA